GCACCGGGGUCCACCUCUUCCCAUUCCGAACAGAGAAGUUAAGCCCGGUCGCGCCGAUGGUACUGCCUUCAAUGGUGGAAGAGUAGGUCGUUGCCUCAU
rnacentral:rRNA from 1 species